AUACGUAGGGGGCGAGCGUUGUCCGGAAUGAUUGGGCGUAAAGGGCGCGUAGGCGGCCCGGUAAGUCUGGAGUGAAAGUCCUGUUUUUAAGGUGGGAAUUGCUUUGGAUACUGCCGCGCUUGAGUGCAGGAGAGGUUAUCGGAAUUCCCGGUGUAGCGGUGAAAUGCGUAGAGAUCGGGAGGAACACCAGUGGCGAAGGCGGGUAACUGGACUGCAACUGACGCUGAGGCGCGAAAGUGUGGGGAGCAAACAGGAUUAGAUACCCUGGUAGUCCACACUGUAAACGAUGAAUGCUAGGUGUAGGGGGUAUCGACCCCUUCUGUGCCGCAGUCAACACAAUAAGCAUUCCGCCUGGGGAGUACGGCCGCAAGGUUGAAACUCAAAUGAAUUGACGGGG
rnacentral:rRNA from 1 species